UACAGAGGGUGCAAGCGUUGUUCGGAAUUAUUGGGCGUAAAGGGCGCGUAGGCGGUGCGGUAAGUCUGUUGUGAAAUCUCUGGGCUCAACUCAGAGUCUGCAACGGAAACUGCCGUGCUUGAGUAUGGGAGAGGUGAGUGGAAUUCCCGGUGUAGCGGUGAAAUGCGUAGAUAUCGUAAGGAAGACCAGUGGCGAAGGCGGGUCUCUGGACAGUUCCUGACGCUGAGGCACGAAGGCCAGGGGAGCAAACGGG
rnacentral:rRNA from 1 species